GAUGGAGUUAUAAAGGGUGGCAAGUAUAAGCCUUUUGCACGAGCGGUGUAGCUAGCUUGGAGAUCAUGCAAUGGUGGGUCGGUUGGACAGAUUGAAGAGGAUCGAUGGUGUUGUCUUGAAGCCGGAAAUAGAAGAACAAGAUUAAAGUUUCAAGCAGGGAUGACUCAGAUUAAAGCAAGAAGUGUACCUGGAUCUAUUUUUUCGUAAGUUGCUGCAAAGGACAAGAACGAGAGCCAAGAGGCAAAGUUAUCUGUUGGUUAUCCUACAGAAAGCUAUGCAGGUGCAAACAAUUAACAGUUUCAAUGUGGUGGCAGUCAAAGAUUGUUGGUUGUGGACAGUUCAUUGAGUCUAAGAAGAAACAAGGAAGUUGUCGAUCUGUGAGCAAGGGACCUGUCGUAUAGAAUUCCUUCUAAAGAAGAGUGAAAGUUAAUGACCAAUUAGGCAAGGGAAAGAGAUCAAAAAUUUAUUAUUGCGUAAUGCUUUUAAUUAUUGUAGUAAAAAGAUGAUCAUCUCUCAUAACCGACUCUCACAGUCCGUCUGGAAUCAGCUUAUAGCCGCAAUACGAAUACAUAAGGCUUUUAAUGCUACACAGACUGAUGGAAUGAAGGAAUAUAUUUAGCGAUGCCACAUUCCAUUUCUAUUCUGCAGUCCCCUUCAUUCCCUACCCACGUCUUGUUUAUUCAUUAAGUUGUUUUCUCUCGCUAGACUGUCUAACCUCUGUAUUUUAAUCGUUCCAACCUGUAUUCAGACACUCUAGUCAAUUUGUCAAAUUACGGCAAAAACAAAAACUCUUCAGAUAAUUGAGGCAUUUUCAUUUGCAUGGCACGUCAACAAAGAGUGAGCCGGCAGAAUCCUUGAAUUCUGAAGGAUGUUGAUUGUGGUGGCGUUGCACGUGCAACAAAGAUCCAGCAGCGGCAGUGUCACGCAGUACCCUCGAUUCGAGGUUGACUCGAACAGAACAUUUAUGAUCUCAUCCUGGUCAAACUUAUGUUUUUAGGUCCUUAAAGUCCAUCUAUCCUUAUUCUUCGCCUAGAUUUCUGAGCUCUGUCCCGUGGCGUCGGUGUCUUACUCGUCUAUAGUUUAAUUAAUCUUCAUUGACUUUGUCUCGCGCUUCUGUUCUCGUAAUUACGAUUUACAAUGUCGACUUUUGUCAAGCCCAGCAUGGUUAUGGGAGGGGCCUACGUGUGCCCGUGGUGCUACGUGCAUGCCCUCUGCGGAUUACGACGGAUAUGACUGACCCUAAGGACCGAUUGCGUAAAAGGCCUUUAUUUUACUUCUUUUUUUUUAAUCUUUUAUUACAUGAGCCACUGAUUCGUGUGCGAGUUUUAUAACUAACUGUUUCAUGUGUUAUUUUAGUUUUAUGAAGUUUGGUCGGGCGCUCGGGCAAGUGAUGAACUGGGCUGACUACUUGUCCAUUAGGCCUGAUUUCCAGCCCAAAAUUUGAUUUUGGUAAAUGUUCGAGUGGCAGAAUUUCAUUUUUUUUUAACAAAACAAAAAAAAAUCGACUGUGAUUUAACAUAUUAUUAGUGUAUUUGAACAUCAAGUCAAUUAUUUUUCAAAGAAUGGAGAGCUAUCACUGGUUUUAACAUCAACUUUCUUUCUAUUAGCAAUUUGGCACUGUUUAAUAGGAUUAAUCAAAGAGAAUAAUGGGCCAGCUCUUAUCAUUUUAACCUAUGAGAAUCUUCUCUAUCCUGAACACUGAUCAGAGUAAUCUCGGUAAGAUGCCUAAGAUGCCAUUUUAAUUUGUUUAAAUCUGUCAUCUCAAAUCACCUAUUAUAUGUUGAAUCCCAUGGUGGUGCGAUCUAACACGGGCAGAAUGAUAGUAUAAUAUUAUUUUAGCAAUGUUGAGGUUAGAGUUAGACUCUAUCUCUUUAAGAUGAAUUUACUCCGCAGACGGUGCUCAUAGAACACGACAAUCAUCUAUCAUGACUUUAUCUUAUGAUAGCAGCACUGCAAAUCGUAAGACCUCCAAACUAAAAAAAACCAUUUUAAACUCUCCAAAUACAAGUAUGGAAUCCAAUGCUUUGCUUUGAAUUGGAGUCAAUCAAAUGAGAAUAUGAGAGAUCUUAUUCAUACCAAAUGAAGGGGUAGAAGAACCUCUUGGUUUAAUUAGAUCUCAUCCAUCUAACUUAAAUCGGAUGAUCUAGAUCACAUCCCUUACCAAGGGACAUGAUGUCUCUUCAUUUGGAUACCUUCCUUUUGAAAUCAAUGGUUGAGAUUGAGCUAUCCGAAAGGGCACUUAUGUCUUCUCAUAUGGAUGAAUCAGACUUAUCAAUUUUGAUCCAAUGAUCUAGAUUUAAUUUCUCAUUCACAUCAAUUUUUCAACAAUCCCUCAUAUGAAUGAAAAUUAAUGAUGCAUGCAUGUUGACAUUAAAGGAGAGUUCAAUUGAAAGAUUAUUGCAUCAGGAGAGCUAGCUUGUCACUUUCAACUUUCCGUAGUAGAGUACCAUCGGAGCUGCUUAGUGAACGUGAUGUUUUGAACUACUCAGUUGUUCGUGUAAACCAAGACAAUGAUAAUACUUACACGAUAAUUAACAUUUCUCACUUCUUUAUAAUUCUCACUGUUUUAUC